rnacentral:rRNA from 1 species
UACGUAGGGUGCGAGCGUUGUCCGGAAUUAUUGGGCGUAAAGAGCUUGUAGGCGGUUUGUCGCGUCUGCUGUGAAAUCUCAAGGCUCAACCUUGAGCUUGCAGUGGGUACGGGCAGACUAGAGUGUGGUAGGGGGAGACUGGAAUUCCUGGUGUAGCGGUGAAAUGCGCAGAUAUCAGGAAGAACACCCGUGGCGAAGGCGGUUCUCUGGGACGGUACUGACGCUGAGACGCGAAAGCGUGGGGAGCGAACAGG